AGGCUUCGGGGGAUACUGCCAGACUUGGAACCGGGAGAGGUAAGAGGUACUACAGGGGUAGGAGUGAAAUCUUGUAAUCCCUGUGGGACCACCUGUGGCGAAGGCGUCUUACCAGAACGGGUUCGACGGUGAGGGACGAAAGCUGGGGGCACGAACCGGAUUAGAUACCCCGGGUAGUCCCAGCCGUAAACGAUGCUCGCUAGGUGUCAGGCAUGGCGCGACCGUGUCUGGUGCCGCAGGGAAGCCGUGAAGCGAGCCACCUGGGAAGUACGGCCGCAAGGCUGAAACUUAAAGGAAUUGGCGGGGAGCACAACAACGGGUGGAAGCCUGCGGUUUAAUUGGACUCAACGCCGGACAACUCACCGGGGGCGACAGCAAUAUGUUAGGCCAAGCUGAAGACUUUGCCUGAAUCGCCGAGUGGAGGUGCAUGG
rnacentral:rRNA from 1 species